rnacentral:rRNA from 1 species
GGUUGCCAACGAGUGGCGGACGGGUGAGUAACACGUAGGUAACCUGCCCAGAAGCGGGGGACAACAUUUGGAAACAGAUGCUAAUACCGCAUAACAGCGUUGUUCGCAUGAACAACGCUUAAAAGAUGGCUUCUCGCUAUCACUUCUGGAUGGACCUGCGGUGCAUUAGCUUGUUGGUGGGGUAACGGCCUACCAAGGCGAUGAUGCAUAGCCGAGUUGAGAGACUGAUCGGCCACAAUGGGACUGAGACACGGCCCAUACUCCUACGGGAGGCAGCAGUAGGGAAUCUUCCACAAUGGGCGCAAGCCUGAUGGAGCAACACCGCGUGAGUGAAGAAGGGUUUCGGCUCGUAAAGCUCUGUUGUUAAAGAAGAACACGUAUGAGAGUAACUGUUCAUACGUUGACGGUAUUUAACCAGAAAGUCACGGCUAACUACGUGCCAGCAGCCGCGGUAAUACGUAGGUGGCAAGCGUUAUCCGGAUUUAUUGGGCGUAAAGAGAGUGCAGGCGGUUUUCUAAGUCUGAUGUGAAAGCCUUCGGCUUAACCGGAGAAGUGCAUCGGAAACUGGAUAACUUGAGUGCAGAAGAGGGUAGUGGAACUCCAUGUGUAGCGGUGGAAUGCGUAGAUAUAUGGAAGAACACCAGUGGCGAAGGCGGCUACCUGGUCUGCAACUGACGCUGAGACUCGAAAGCAUGGGUAGCGAACAGGAUUAGAUACCCUGGUAGUCCAUGCCGUAAACGAUGAGUGCUAGGUGUUGGAGGGUUUCCGCCCUUCAGUGCCGGAGCUAACGCAUUAAGCACUCCGCCUGGGGAGUACGACCGCAAGGUUGAAACUCAAAGGAAUUGACGGGGGCCCGCACAAGCGGUGGAGCAUGUGGUUUAAUUCGAAGCUACGCGAAGAACCUUACCAGGUCUUGACAUCUUGCGCCAACCCUAGAGAUAGGGCGUUUCCUUCGGGAACGCAAUGACAGGUGGUGCAUGGUCGUCGUCAGCUCGUGUCGUGAGAUGUUGGGUUAAGUCCCGCAACGAGCGCAACCCUUGUUACUAGUUGCCAGCAUUAAGUUGGGCACUCUAGUGAGACUGCCGGUGACAAACCGGAGGAAGGUGGGGACGACGUCAGAUCAUCAUGCCCCUUAUGACCUGGGCUACACACGUGCUACAAUGGACGGUACAACGAGUCGCGAACUCGCGAGGGCAAGC